AGGGCAUAGUGUUGAGCAUGGAGUUGUGAGAAAGAGAAACUCAGAUCCCACAUCUCAGAAACAAAAACCAGUUGUCGUUCUUUUUCUUCCGAGACGUUGACCGGGGAGAAGUCAUCGUCACUUUCUUUCCUGACUUAGUUCUUCAUAAAAAAAGGUUGGUGAAGAUUUUUCUCAACAUGCAGUGCCAAGUCAACAAAAUGCCUCUGAUGCAUGUUGCACAUGAAAAAUGGGAAGGAAAUCUGAAAUGAUUCCUUUUUCAGUUUGGCGUUGAAGCUGUUAAUGGCGGUGAUGUCUGUUGUGCAGUAGUGUGGCAGUUAUUUUCCGAUUGAGAGAUGAACUGAAAUGGAUCUUCUGCAGACUUGAAAUUCAACAUCAGACUUCAAUUUUGGUGUCCAUGUUGUGUUGAGCUGUUGUGUGCAAAAUAGUUGGUGUUGCCUGAUUGCUGUCUGGCCUUUUGUUGGUGUGUUCUUCUGUUACCUGUUGAGGUAAUGCAGGAUGAAAAAUUUUACUGAUGAAUUAUUAGAUUUACAUAAAUUAAAAUUGAAAAUCUAUUGUCCCUUUUCCCUAAGUAAACAAAAAUGUCCUCUGUUGCCUAGUUGUGUGAAGACCAGGGGUGUCGUGGUCGAAUGGGGAAUUGCAACGAAAUUUGAUAUUUUCUAUGAGAAAGAAAAGUUAAACCACAAAGAUUCUUAUACUCCGAUGAACUCUUACCGCCUCCAAACGUUUCGCUCUUAAUCUAUAAGAUUACCUCGUUAAAAAAAUAAAUUGCUGAAACCAAAAUCA
rnacentral:lncRNA from 1 species